UGAACGCUAGCGACAGGCCUAACACAUGCAAGUCGAGGGGCAGCACAGAGGUAGCUUGCUACUUUGGGUGGCGACCGGCGCACGGGUGCGUAACAGGUGUGCAAUCUGUCCAUAAUCGGGGAAUAGCCCAGCGAAAGUUGGAUUAAUGCUCCAUGUGAGUAAUAGAGGCAUCUCUUUAUUUGAAACGUAAGGAUUAUGGGUGAGCACGCUUCUGAUUAGGUAGUUGGUGAGGUAACGGCUCACCAAGCCGACGAUCAGUAGGGGUUCUGAGAGGAAGGUCCCCCACAUUGGAACUGAGACACGGUCCAAACUCCUACGGGAGGCAGCAGUGAGGAAUAUUGGUCAAUGGGCGCAAGCCUGAACCAGCCAAGUCGCGUGAAGGAUGAAGGUUCUAUGGAUUGUAAACUUCUUUUGUCUGAGGGUAAAAAGCGGACGUGUCCGUUCUUGCAAGUAUCAGACGAAUAAGCAUCGGCUAACUCCGUG
rnacentral:rRNA from 1 species